CUGCAAUUGUAAAGAUGACUGUGCAUCAAGCAGCUGUAUCUGUGGCCAGCUCAGCAUGCGCUGUUGGUAUGACAAGGAUGGCCGCUUGUUGAAAGAGAUCUGCAGGGAUGACCCACCCUUUCUGUUUGAGUGUAACCAUGCCUGUUCCUGUUGGAGAACAUGCAGAAAUAGAGUGAUACAGAAUGGCCUUCGGGUCAGACUGCAGGUGUUUAGGACUGAGAGGAAGGGCUGGGGGGUCCGAGCACUGCAGGAUAUUCAUGAGGGAACUUUCGUAUGCG